UACGCUACCGACAGGCGGGACAGUGCA
rnacentral:sRNA from 1 species